AGGUUCCAACCAAAUAACUACCCUCCCAAAAUUCUAAUCCCUCUUCUCACCCGCUCCCCUGAGUCUAGCCAUUCAAAAAACUCUACUCCCAUACGUUUGAUCUGAUCGAAGAACCAAGACUCUUGCAGAACCAACUUCACCUUUCAGGCAGAUGGUCAACGAAGAAAUAAGCCAAUCAAUUCUUGUUAGUGGAGAAAGUGGAGCUGGUAAAAUUGAAAGCACAAAGAAUCUUAUGCAGUAUCUUGCAUUUAUGGCCCUUCAGAUUCAUCCGAGGGAAAACGAAGUGUGGAACAACAAGUCUUAGAAUCUAAUCCGGUUCUAGAAGCAUUUGGUAAUGCAAAGACAGAAACAAUAACUCAAGUAGUCUGAAAAGUACAAAGUUGAAAAUCCAAGAAAGAUUCAUUACCUUAAUCAAUCAAACUUUUAUGAACUGAAUGGAGUUGACGAGUCUAAAUAGUAUCUUGCUACAAAGAAAGCUAUGGAUGUUGUUGGAAUCAGCUCUCUGAUGAACAGGUGAAGCUGAAUACAUUGUGGAAAGUGAGGUCUAGUUCUCUGCAGGUGUAGCAACAUGAAAUCACCAGCACUAAAGUAAUGGGGUCUUUGCUCUCAUGUGACCAUCAAGACAAAAUUCAUAGCUUUUGUUGUGGCAAUUCAGAUGUUUAAUACUUGAGUCUGAGUGCAAAUUUGCAUCAUGAGUUAGACUAUUAGCUACUAUGGUUACUAUGUUGAACUUAGUUAUCAAGGAUCUCGUUAAGGAAAAUGAUGAAGAAAAAGAAAGGCUAAAUGGAAUUAUUGCCGGGUUGUUGGCUGAAAAAGAAAAAGAUAAGUGGAUAAAGAUGCUAUGCUCAUACGAUGUCACAAAUUGAAGCUAUGUUAACAAGUACAAUUUGAAGAUAGGCUACAAACACUUGGUUUUGAAUGUUUCGAUGUUUAUCUUAUUAGGAUUUUUUUAGUUAUUUGAUGUUUUAGCUGGUAUUUCUAUUA